ensembl:lncRNA
CGGGCUCUUGACCUGCUGUCUUUCACUGGUGAUCUGUGUUUCUCCCCUUCAUCUGUUUUUAGGUUUUUCUGCUCAACUUUCCUGUAAGUGACAAGAUGCCGCUGUGGGAUCAACCCUGUCACUAUUCAAAACCCUGAUUCCUGAAAUAUCAGAAGAAGGAUUACACACAUUCUGACCAGUAUCAAGCUAUUUAUUCUGCACAGAGCGUUUCUGGUGUGGCUUAUGCAAAAGAGAAUUGCAACAACACAGCAUGUUUCUCUUCUCCCUUUCACACACAUGCUUUGUACCUCAGGCUCAUCCGAGACAAUCGUAUCCAGUGGUGUGGUGGCCAUGGAUUGAGCCAGCCCUGCAAACCCUGUGGAUGGACGAUGCAGUGGACAGUGGGAGGAAGCAUCCUGAAGCUCUCUUUGCAGACCACUGUGUGUGAUUCUCCACUCGCCGACCAGAAAAGACAAACGGCAGGUCUCAGUUGCAGCACCUCAUCCAUCCAUGUCUGAUCCUGCAUCGGCAGAUUCAGCAACACAGCCAGAGACUUCCUGUAAUCUAUUACAGUUGUUAAAAAAAAAAAAAACGGUCCAGGAACAGGUCACUCAGGUUAAUCCUGUAUAAACAACUGUAAAUAUCGUUUUUUCUUCUUUAAAUAUUGUUGGCUUAUUAGAAAUAUUCUUGUUCAAUUGUUGUUGUUAUUUACUUUAUUGCCAUCAAAUAAAUAUCCAUGUAAAAUUGUCCAAAGUUAGCAUUAUGUUCAUACAUGUUAAAAAUACCUGAAAAUAAAAUGAGUUCAGUGACAGUUAGUGUUUGUUGUAGUCAAUUUAUUAAUAACAAAAAAACUUUUAAACUAAUGCAACACAUAUAACAAUGUCACAAAAUAUUCAAAUAAAUACAUUUCUUAAUGCAUAACUGAUUUUGGAUCUGAUCUUUCAAGAAGUGAAAGUCUGUCCAUCCUCUCACUGAUCGAAUCGAUCGAUUCGGGACCUUGUGAAUCUGAAUCGAAGCCCAACUCGUCUCCACCAAACGCG